UACGUAGGGGGCGAGCGUUGUCCGGAAUCAUUGGGCGUAAAGAGCGUGUAGGCGGCUUGGAAAGUCUUACGUGAAAGCCUGCGGCUCAACCGCAGAAGUGCGUAGGAAACUUCCUCGCUAGAGUCCGGAAGAGGAGAGCGGAAUUCCUGGUGUAGCGGUGGAAUGCGCAGAUAUCAGGAGGAACACCCGUGGCGAAGGCGGCUCUCUGGGACGGUACUGACGCUGAGACGCGAAAGCGUGGGGAGCGAACAGGG
rnacentral:rRNA from 1 species